rnacentral:misc_RNA from 1 species
AGUCGUAACAAGGUUCCGUAGGUGAACCUGCGGAAGGAUCAUUAACACGUAUCCAAACGUUAAACCCCCAAGUGAACCUUCAUCGUGCUCGAGUGGCCACUGAUAAACACAGCAAUUCCUGGUAAAUCAUUGUCUGAACAAGCCUUUGAGUCAGGAACCUCUGUGCAGUGCGAGCUACAUCCACUAUAGAAGCGCUAGUUCCAUCGGCAUUGUUUCCCCAAGCAGCCAGUGCGUGAAAGUGGCAACUGACUGUGCAAGGAUAACGCUUAACGAUUUUGCAGCCGCAACACGCGGGCAGAGCUUUGCCAAAGGGUCCCCAUGCCCCUUCCUUCUGCCGAUUUCACAUACAAAGCUCCAUUUUCAAUUAUGGAUGGGGUAAAACCGAACAACUGUUAACAAUGGAUAUCUUGGUUCUC